rnacentral:rRNA from 1 species
GCAGAACGCGAAGAACCUUACCCACACUUGACAUGCCUCUUUUGGCUUUCAGAGAUGAUUGCCUUCGGUUCGGCCGGGGAGUGCACAGGUGCUGCAUGGCUGUCGUCAGCUCGUGUCGUGAGAUGUUAGGUUAAGUCCCGCAACGAGCGCAACCCUUAUCGUAUGUUGCCAGCAUUUAGUUGGGCACUCGUGCGAGACUGCCGGUGAUAAGCCGGAGGAAGGCGGGGACGACGUCAAGUCCUCAUGGCCCUUAUAGGUGGGGCUACACACGUCAUACAAUGGCUGGUACAAAGGGUUGCCAACCCGCGAGGGGAGCUAAUCCCAUAAAAGACCAGUCAUAAGUCCGGAUCGCAGUCUGCAACUCGACUGCGUGAAGUCGGAAUCGCUAGUAAUCGUGGAUCAGAAUGUCA